rnacentral:pre_miRNA from 1 species
AGGAACAACCGCAGUGGUGGCGCCCAGCUCUGGAGCCCUGGAGUCAGUUCCUGCAGUAACUAUGGAGCUCUCUGUCUGCCAAUGCCUGGAUGCUCCAGGGGCGA